rnacentral:rRNA from 1 species
AGAGCGAACGCUGGCGGCAGGCCUAAUACAUGCAAGUCGAACGAACCCUUCGGGGUUAGUGGCGGACGGGUGAGUAACACGUGGGAACGUGCCUUUUGGUUCGGAACAACUCAGGGAAACUUGAGCUAAUACCGAAUGUGCCCUUCGGGGGAAAGAUUUAUCGCCAUUAGAGCGGCCCGCGUCUGAUUAGCUAGUUGGUGGGGUAAAGGCCCACCAAGGCUACGAUCAGUAGCUGGUCUGAGAGGAUGAUCAGCCACACUGGGACUGAGACACGGCCCAGACUCCUACGGGAGGCAGCAGUAGGGAAUCUUGCGCAAUGGGCGAAAGCCUGACGCAGCCAUGCCGCGUGAAUGAUGAAGGUCUUAGGAUUGUAAAAUUCUUUCAGCGGGACGAUAAUGACGGUACCGCAGAAGACGCCCGGCUAACUUCGCGCCAGCAGCCGC